rnacentral:lncRNA from 1 species
GAAGAUAAGAACAUGAAAGGAAAUAUGAAAUACAUAACAAAACUAAACUCAUCGUAAGCAGGAAGGAUCUGUUAGAUUGAAUAAAGAGGAUAUUAUUCAGGGACUGGUACUCAAGUAUCUCUCCUCAAAAGGUUACAGAUACAUUCAGUCAAGUGACCUUCUUCCGGCUCCUUGUGUAUCAACUUUAAAAAGAUUGAUUCAAAAUUUUAAAAUAAAUUAUCAUUAUCGAAAUUGUGGCUCAACAAUUUAAAUUGAAAUCCUAAAGUAGUAUUUUAUUUCAUUUAAAAAAUCGUUAUAAUUUAUUGUUUGUUAAUUACGUUUUAGCUUGAAAUCCUUUAAUUAAAUAUAAUGUGACUUGCAUCGAUCAUCAUCAGAAUCCCUUUGACAUAUCACUGACUUUUUAGGCAUCAUAUUUGAGACAGAUUAACACCAAAGUCUACCUUUGUCCUAAGAUCUCAGAGGCCAUUGUAUAAAUUGGAUAACACUACAGAUACUUUUUUAGUAUUCCACAAGUUAAUUUAUAUAAUAAUAUAUGGCCAUGCUUGGAGUAAUGUCCAGCUUAUAUACCCAUGAUGAUUUCAAUGGAUAAGAAGUUCCAUUUUAGAACUCUCGGGGCACAUAGUGCAUCAGUGUGAUACAAUCCUCAACUUCUAAGCAUUUACAUAACCAACAGUACAGUUAUCAUGUUAUGAAAUACCUAUAUUGUAAAAGAUGCAGAAACCGUACCUAACUUUUACAUUUAUAACAAUUUAUAUUUUGGAUACCUUUGUAUAUAUUUAAAGUUCCAAUCAGAUUGUAAUAUGUAUAAUAUUGAAGGCCUUUAGUUUAAUAAUCCCAUAUGUCUUAACAUUAUUUUAAUAUUUUUACUUAAAAAAUCAUUUAAUUUCUUCGCUUUCAUUUCAGAACAUAAAUCUUUAACUAACAAAUUCAACACUUUUGGAGAUUGUUUCUAAAAAGUGGUUAAGUUUGUCUAUAAACUGAAAAACAUUUUAUUCUUAAUUAUUACUUUAUAAUUAUACGCUUAACUCAAUCGAUGAAUUUAAUAGUAUAUCGGCUGUGACGUUACACUCCAUCGACAAAGGAAAAAAAAAAAGAAAAAAGAAAACGCGUGGUGGAAGAUACACAUCAGUAAGGGUGAUAAUUUUGGUAAAAA